AGGACCCUAGUAAAAUACACAUUACACUGCUUUGUCAAGGCAGAAUUGUAGGUUAGAACCCUGCGAGCCCUG
rnacentral:tRNA from 1 species